CAUUACCGAGUUUACAACUCCCAAACCCAUGUGAACAUACCUACUGUUGCUUCGGCGGGAUUGCCCCGGGCGCCUCGUGUGCCCCGGAUCAGGCGCCCGCCUAGGAAACUUAAUUCUUGUUUUAUUUUGGAAUCUUCUGAGUAGUUUUUACAAAUAAAUAAAAACUUUCAACAACGGAUCUCUUGGUUCUGGCAUCGAUGAAGAACGCAGCGAAAUGCGAUAAGUAAUGUGAAUUGCAGAAUUCAGUGAAUCAUCGAAUCUUUGAACGCACAUUGCGCCCGCCAGUAUUCUGGCGGGCAUGCCUGUCUGAGCGUCAUUUCAACCCUCAUGCCCCUAGGGCGUGGUGUUGGGGAUCGGCCAAAGCCCGCGAGGGACGGCCGGCCCCUAAAUCUAGUGGCGGACCCGUCGUGGCCUCCUCUGCGAAGUAGUGAUAUUCCGCAUCGGAGAGCGACGAGCCCCUGCCGUUAAACCCCCAACUUUCCAAGGUUGAC
rnacentral:rRNA from 1 species